rnacentral:misc_RNA from 1 species
AAAGUCGUAACAAGGUUUCCGUAGGUGAACCUGCGGAAGGAUCAUUAUUGAAUAAAUUUGGUUAGGUUGCUGCUGGCUCUUAGGAGCAUUGUGCACGCCUACGCCAUUUUUAACCACCUGUGCACCUCUUGUAGAUCUGAGGACGUCCGAGGAAACUCGGUUUUAGAAUUGCUGUGCGCAAGCCAGCUUUUCUUGUAUUCAGAUCUAUGUUUUCACAUACCCUACAUUGAAUGUAUUCGCAUGUUGUAAUUGGCCUUGUGCCUUUAAAACUAAAUACAACUUUCAACAACGGAUCUCUUGGCUCUC